rnacentral:rRNA from 1 species
UCGAACGCGAAAGUGGAGCAAUCCAUGAGUAGAGUGGCAAACGGGUGAGUAACGCGUGGGCGACCUACCUUCGAGCGGGGGAUAACCUUCCGAAAGGAGGGCUAAUACCGCAGGACAUCCCGUGUUUAGAUACACGGAGAUCAAAGCCGGGGAUCGUAAGACCUGGCACUUGAAGAGGGGCCCGCGUCCGAUUAGCUAGUUGGUGAGGUCACGGCUCACCAAGGCUCCGAUCGGUAUCCGGCCUGAGAGGGCGGACGGACACACUGGAACUGAGACACGGUCCAGACUCCUACGGGAGGCAGCAGUGGGGAAUUGUUCACAAUGGGCGCAAGCCUGAUGACGCAACGCCGCGUGGAGGAUGAAGACCUUCGGGUCGUAAACUCCUUUCGACCGAGAUGAAUUCCUUGCGACCUAACACGUCGCGAGGGUGACAGUAUCGAGGGAAGAAGCCCCGGCUAACUCUGUGCCAGCAGCCGCGGUAAUACAGGGGGGGCAAGCGUUGUUCGGAAUUACUGGGCGUAAAGGGUUUGUAGGUGGCUUGUUAAGUCAGACGUGAAAUCCCUCAGCUUAACUGGGGAACUGCGUCUGAUACUGAUGAGCUUGAGUGCAGGAGAGGAACGCGGAAUUCCAGGUGUAGCGGUGAAAUGCGUAGAUAUCUGGAGGAACACCGGUGGCGAAGGCGGCGUUCUGGACUGCAACUGACACUGAAAAACGAAAGCCAGGGGAGCAAACGGGAUUAGAUACCCCGGUAGUCCUGGCCCUAAACCAUGAAUGCUUGGUGUGGCGGGUAUCGAU